UACGUAGGUGGCAAGCGUUGUCCGGAAUUAUUGGGCGUAAAGCGCGCGCAGGCGGCCUCUUAAGUCUGAUGUGAAAGCCCCCGGCUCAACCGGGGAGGGCCAUUGGAAACUGGGAGUCGUGAGUAUAGGAGAGAAGAGUGGAAUUCCACGUGUAGCGGUGAAAUGCGUAGAGAUGUGGAGGAACGCCAGUGGCGAAGGCGACUCAUUGGCCUAUAACUGACGCUGAGGUGCGAAGGCGUGUGGAGCCACCAGG
rnacentral:misc_RNA from 1 species